UCACAAUUUAACACCCUGUAAUUCCCUUUUUUUUUAGCAUCUAAUAAUAAAGUGUAUGAUUAUUUAAAUGUUAACUGCAUAUCCGUUUCUAACAAAACAAAUCUUAAGAAUUCCAUUUUUUCUAACAAGCAUUCCAUUGACGCAAAAUUUAGACUGUUAUUAGACACGUUAAAAUGAUAUUCAACAAUCAUGUUAAAAAGGUGAAGAUUAUUUACUUUUCUUUUUUUCCGUAACUUUCCAGUGCACGUCCUCAAUUCUCAAUAUUUGUAGCCUCAGUUCUCACAAUACGUUUUUGUCCAUGUUUCUGAAGGUAGCAGUCUACGAAUGUGGUAUAUUUGAAAACCAUUCUGACCAAUUUUUUUACUUAAACAAAUUCUAGGUUUAUUAACAUUCUUUCAUGAAUACUUUUGUAUAUAAACUCUUAAACAGUGAAAAAUAACGAUAUAUUUUUAGAUAUUUUUGAGUUCAAAGUUUAAAUAUUGUUAUUUAAACAGAGACUUCAAUUUUUUUUUCCAAUGUGUCAUAAAGCCUUGUA